GGACGAACGCUGGCGGCGUGCCUAAUACAUGCAAGUCGAGCGGAUCUUUUUAGGUAGCUUGCUACUUAAGAAGGUUAGCGGCGGACGGGUGAGUAACACGUAGGCAACCUGCCCUUUAGCCUGGGAUAACAUUCGGAAACGAAUGCUAAGACCGGAUACGCAGCUUGGUCGCAUGAGCGAGCUGGGAAAGACGGAGCAAUCUGUCGCUAAGGGAUGGGCCUGCGGCGCAUUAGCUAGUUGGUGGGGUAACGGCUCACCAAGGCGACGAUGCGUAGCCGACCUGAGAGGGUGAACGGCCACACUGGGACUGAGACACGGCCCAGACUCCUACGGGAGGCAGCAGUAGGGAAUCUUCCACAAUGGGCGAAAGCCUGAUGGAGCAACGCCGCGUGAGUGAGGAAGGCCUUCGGGUCGUAAAGCUCUGUUGCCAGGGAAGAAUAAGGGCUAGUUAACUGCUAGCUCGAUGACGGUACCUGAGAAGAAAGCCCCGGCUAACUAC
rnacentral:rRNA from 1 species